rnacentral:lncRNA from 1 species
UGUAGUUCAGAUUGGCCUUAGACUCACUGUGUAGUCCAGGCUGGCCUCAGACUUGCGAUGAUCCUCCUGCCUCAGCCUCCCUCCUGAGUGCUAGGAUGACAGGUGUGUGCCACCACACCUGAGGCCGGCAACCGUAUUUAACAGAUAAUAAUCAACAGUCUCCUUCCCUCUUUCUCUGUUGUCCCCACACUUCCCUCCCUCUCAGGUUUAAGGCUGUGCUUGCAUGCUCUGCAUGACAAUAGCUUGAAACAGAAAGAUUUUUUUCAGAUCUUUUGAAUCUCUAAGUGUUGAAUACCUGGGGUAUGGAAAUAUUAUUAUGAUAUGUUUUAUUAUUAGCAUUGUACAUUGAAUCAGGAGCGUUUAUAUUUUGAAUUUGUCUGAUUGAAUCUUGGUUGGGAAUUGAAGCCUCAGCACACGAAAGCCACAUGUCACUUUUCAGGAGAGAUGAUACCAGUUGUUUGGACGCCUUGUGUUCUAUUAAAGUCAAAACCAGGCUUCCCUGUCAGACUGUUAGAGAGAAACGUGGCUGGGUUUGUGAGCAAGGAGCCCCUGCUUCCAGCCCAAGAGGCUGGAGAGGAGAGCAGAUCCGGACCGCUGGAGCAUGGCCCCUCUGCCACCCAAGUCCUCCCUGUUAUCACCUCAAAGCUGGGAGAGCAGGCUGCCGACAGUGUGCAGCUGUCUGGAGACGCCCGUAAUGGAGUCAGGACGCUGACCUGGGACAGCAGCUGCAGAGGCGAGAAGUACAACAGUUUCCUUCCUGGCUUCCCAGUCCCACGCCCAGGCUGUGUAACCAAGCGCUCCGUGUCCUCUGCCCAGCUUCCCAUGUGUGCCAGCCUCGCGCUCAGGUUGCCCAGCUCUUCUCUGUCCUUCUACUGGCUGUGAAGAACCAGACUCUGAUCCUUUCCUGCACUGCUGAGAAGACUCCAGUUGCUGCUUCCAAAAGCUUACUCGUUCUUCACAACAGCGUUCAAGGGUCUGUGCCUUGAAUUUUUCCAGGCACACCUAGGUUGGGUUAAUUUUCCCUCUUCCAUGUUCCCAGGGAACUUUGUAGAAAACCACGCUUCAUCAACCCAACUUCAGUGACCUA